CCCUCUUUCACAAAAUAUAGAACCAUUGUACUUUAAUUUAAGAAAUAAUUAUAACUACUAUAUUUUAGUGCUUCCUAUAAUUUUUCAUGACUAGAAUCUUUGAUUUAGAACUUAAAGCUGAUAAUUCAAUCGAUUGGUAGGAAAGAGGGAGUACAAUGGGUCGGUGCAUUCAAAGACAUUCGACCGCCGCCACAAUGUAUGAAUGGAAGUUACUUUCCAGAUAAAAUCGUCAAAGUGAUUCUAAAGCACUAUCUAAUGAAUACUUUAUAUUUUAAUGGCUUUAACAUAAGAAAGAAUCAAAUUCUCCUUCCUUCAGCCAGUAGCAUUUCCCCAUAACAUGGCCAUCUUGUUCUCUUUACCAUGCUAGUUAUUUUAAGAUGAGCUCUGAUAAUUAAUAAUUAGUUUCAUUUCUGUACUUUUUUUAUUAGUUAUUAUGGUGAUUGUUAAUAUCCUAACAGUAUUUCUGUAUUUUAAGAUUCUUGGUCAAUUUUUCAGUUAGAUAUAUGGGUCAUCCUAAUCGCUUAGAGACAAACCCACCUAUAGUUAACCAAUACGUUUGGGGUCUUGAGACAUGAAACAAAUAAUUGAUAUGUGACAGUCCCAGUUACCAACCCCUCCUCCCUUCUUUCUUCUGUGAUAAGUCAGAAUCUGUGGCUUUCUGCUGCAGGGUGAGUUAGACAAUGAUCCAUGUGGGCAAAAAAGUUGGGCUGCAGAGCAUCUAUAAAAUCCUUAAUUUGGUUAUCAUAUACCACAGUACAAACACUGCAAACUCUCUAACUCUAGAACAUUUUCUUACACCCAAACUCCAAAUCCCUCCAUAACUAAAACAUGGAUCUCUUACACCAUAGGGGAAUAGAUAAAAAUUGCCCUAGGACGUGGGUUAAAAACGAUAGGGGUAUGUCUGGGGUAGUUCUUUAUGCAGAAGAGCAAUUGAUUGCCUUGUUUAAGAGCUGUGACAUCAACCAAGACGGACGCCUUAGCAAGGAAGAGCUCAAGAACAUGUUCAAUAAGCUAGGUUCUCAUUUUGCAAGCUGGCGAGUUUAUCGAGCACUACAUCAUGCAGAUACAAACGGAGAUGGGUAUAUAAGCGAGGAAGAGUUUUCUGAUCUUGUUAGGUAUAUAUUGACCAGAUGUGAUUAUAGGUUUAAGUAGGCAGAUUGUACAAAGCAGGAGGUUUAGCCAAGUUUUCUGAGUUUGUAGAUGACGCUUUAUCUGGUUUGUUUUCUUUUUCUUUUCUUUUUUGCUACUUUUCCCUUUCUCUUUUCUCAUUUCUAGAUUGCAUAUGUAUGUAGUUUGUAGCUUCCUCAUGAACGAAAAUUAGACGAAAAUAGUUUCCUGUAAAAUUUCUCCCAUCUUCUGGAAAAAUUAUAAAAUAAAAUCAUAUGUACAAUUAUUUUAUUAUAAUUAUUAAUUUUGAUGAAUUUUACAUCAAUUCUA
rnacentral:misc_RNA from 1 species